UACGUAGGCAGCGAGCGUUGUUCGGAGUUACUGGGCGUAAAGCGUGCGUAGGCGGUUGUCUAAGUCUGGUGUGAAAUCUCCCGGCUCAACUGGGAGGGUGCGCCGGAAACUGGAUGACUGGAGUGCCGGAGAGGUAAGCGGAAUUCCUGGUGUAGCGGUGAAAUGCGUAGAGAUCAGGAGGAACACCUGUGGUGUAGACAGCUUACUGGACGGUGGCUGACGCUGAGGCACGAAAGCGUGGGUAGCAAACAGG
rnacentral:rRNA from 1 species